UGGGGAAUUGUUCGCAAUGGGCGCAAGCCUGACGACGCAACGCCGCGUGGAGGAUGAAGGUCUUCGGAUUGUAAACUCCUGUUGACCGGGACGAAUGGGCGACGACCUAACACGUCGGAGCAGUGACGGUACCGGUUGAGGAAGCCACGGCUAACUCUGUGCCAGCAGCCGCGGUAAUACAGAGGUGGCAAGCGUUGUUCGGAAUUACUGGGCGUAAAGGGCGCGUAGGCGGCCUUCUAAGUCAGACGUGAAAUCCCCAGGCUUAACUUGGGAACUGCGUCUGAUACUGGAUGGCUUGAGUGCGGGAGAGGGAUGUGGAAUUCCAGGUGUAGCGGUGAAAUGCGUAGAUAUCUGGAGGAACACCGGUGGCGAAGGCGGCAUCCUGGACCGACACUGACGCUGAUGCGCGAAAGCCAGGGGAGCAAACGG
rnacentral:rRNA from 1 species